ensembl:lncRNA
UGUACAGGGGAUAUCCAGGUGGGUGAUUAUGGGUGGAGGGGUACAGGGGAUAUCCAGGUGGGUGAUUAUGGGUGGAGGGGUACAGGGGAUAUCCAGGUGGGUGAUUAUGGGUGGAGGGGUACAGGGGAUAUCCAGGUGGGUGAUUAUGGGUGGAGGGGUACAGGGGAUAUCCAGGUGGGUGAUUAUGGGUGGAGGGGUACAGGGGAUAUCCAGGUGGGUGAUUAUGGGUGAAGCUGGGCAGGUGGAGGGGUACAGGGGAUAUCCAGGUGGGUGAUUAUGGGUGGAGGGGUACAGGGGAUAUCCAGGUGGGUGAUUAUGGGUGGAGGGGGGCACUUCUCAGUCUGAAGUGUCUGAGUGUACACUGCUCUGUGCCUUGGUGGGAGGGUGGGGGUCCGGGCCGUCCUGCCUUCCACUGUUAACCUGUAAAAGACACAAUGGGGGAGGGAGUGAGAGAGGAGACCAAGACUUC